rnacentral:misc_RNA from 1 species
AAGUCGUAACAAGGUUUCCGUAGGUGAACCUGCGGAAGGAUCAUUAACACUUUGUUAUCCACAAUAUCAACCAAAUGUGAACUGUAUCGUCCCUAUUCACGGUAAGAGCGGAGCUGGCUUCGGUCAACUUUAGUCGAGUCGUGCGAUAGACAAUACCAUCUCCUAGUAGUCAUCAGACGACUAGCGCUUCGGCGUUAGUUGUCUUGGUGAUGAACGUAUUCACCAAUUUUCACCCUAUACAUUUAACCUGACUAAUCUUCAUAAACUUAUCGACUGCCUCACGGCGGUUAGUAAGCUUUACGAAAUAUCGAACAACUCUUAGCAAUGGAUAUCUUGGGUCAU